rnacentral:lncRNA from 1 species
GCACCUGGCCCAGACACUGUAAGUUUUGGGGAGGAUUAAAUGGGAUCAUCCAUGUAAAUGCGCCUAUCCCAGUCUCUAGCACACACUGAACACUCAAAAAUGGGAGGUUUUGGUAUUUCAGAAGAAAAUCAGGUGUCGGGGAGUGUUAGUAGUAACCUUGAACUAUAUGCAAAGACUAAAGCUAGGAAGAUAGGAAGAGUUUUACAAGAUCCUUUUGGCUAUAUAGUUAAAGUUAUUAGCAGUUAGAGUUUCCCUUACAGUUGACAAGUGAACCAUACAAGUGAAUGACUUGUGGUUCCUCAGAUAAAAGCACGAGUCAGAGUUGUAAUUUCUGUUUUGUGGACGUAAUUGUUGACCAAGUGCACUGAAGGUAGGGAUGGCCAGUAACAAAAUUAUAAAGCAGGCCUGUUUGUCUUCAAACACUCCUGAGUAAACUUGUCAUUUCCUUGUAAAAAUGCAAAAUAGACUACUGAGUAGAGGUGAUCAAUUACAGAAAUGCACUUACUUUGGCUUUCUUCUGAAACCUAAUAAAAUGACAGUAAAGGGAUUAUUUUUUUAAGGCAGAAACCCACAAUGAUGAUGAAAUUAGAAAGGAAGACAAGAACAACAAGGUUGUGGAAUUCAGAAGCCAUAUAGACAAGAGGUAACACACCUGAGAAAGAUGAUCCCUAAAUUUGUCUUGGAGAAAACUCAGAAGUACCUGACUACAUCAUAGACCUCCCAAACAGCUUCCAAAUGUCAGAUACCACUGAAAAUGGGGAUAAAGGUAGGGUCAAAAAUAGGAGGAUUGGGUUAUAAGUCUGUAUAAGAAGUUGUUAGAUCCCUACAUCCUCUCUUCAAACCUGUAUAGCCAGAUAAUGGUCCCUCUCCCAGCCUGGCAGAGGCUGGAAAAGGUAAAUAGAGAAACUUACUUCCUGGAGAACAUUUGGCACAUUUGGGGAUGGAGUUCAGUAAUAUAAAUGAAGGGGUAGUGAAAAUUUAUGGGAACAUUUAUAAGCUAACAGAACCCCAUGUCUUUUACCCCAUUCUAAUUCCAGACCACUAGAGAUUAGAAAAUUAUUCUCUGGGGUAUCUGACCACUUCCAGAGGAAAGACAUAAAGAUGCUGAUGUCGAGAAUGACCCAACUAAAUGGCCCAGCCAGAUGACCCAGUUGAAGCUGGUGGACAAGAAGUUUCAUUCAUGGAAUCAGAACUUCCAAUAAGCUGGGAAAACGGCAAUGGAUUAAUAACAAGAAAUUAAUGGUGAAGUGGUGACGAAAAUUCUACAUUGCUUAGAAAGCAAAUAGUGAAAUGAACAUUUACAUUCUGGCAACCUCAGAAGUACAACGAACAAAGGACACCAGCCAGGUAGGGCAAAGGCCUGUGAACCCCCUUUUGCUGUUAAAUGUUUAUCAGAUGAGUGCUCUGUUUCUGUUAUAUUAUAUUGCUUUUCUCUCCAAUGUUUACUGAGGAAGAACAAGUAGCUCCUCAGGCAAGUCAACUGUUAACUUUGCAGUUUUUAUUUAAUCUCCCAGGAAUGUAACCCUUAACUUUAAAGAAUGUAGUGACCAUAAAACUUAUAAAGCAUGUUUCUUAAGGAAAUUGUACCUGUUUAUUUAAUCUAUCAGAUAUGAAUGUUAUAGAAAAUUAAAUUUGUCCACUUAAGCUGUAGAUGAACUUUUCACCUUUCUGAUCAGAAAUUCACCAUCUUAUAGUAUAGGUUCUGUUAUUAAUCAGAAUAUUUCAUUUAGACUCUUUCUAUCCAACUUUUUCUUAGAGGCUAUUCAAAAUAAAGGUGCUUCUAACAGUUUCAUAUCGAAAUACGAUGCAAAGCCUUGCUCUUCCAUGGUAUCCUUUGAGUGAGCCAAACUUAUUUAGCCAUUCCCCUAUAGUUAAAUAGCUAGGAUGUUUCCAACAUCUCACCUUUAAAACAAUAGUGCUAUGAAUGUCAUAAAUGUUUGUAUAUGUAAAUAUGUAGGAUAAAUCCCUAUCAGUAGAAUUUCAAAAGGUAUACGCAAUCAGUAUUUUCAUACAUAUUUAAAAUUUUCCAUCCAUACAAAGGUUGCUAACAUAUUUAUUUAAAAUUUUAAAAAUAAUUUUAUAUGCCUCUUGUAACCAGUAAUAGGAUGCAAAGUUUUUUUUAAGGUAACAUUGCUCCUCUUCCCCCAUUGUCUCUGUCAUCUAUAGUACUCCCUGAGGUAGUUCAUGUUAUUGCAAGGGUGUGUAUCAUCACAAACAUAUUGCUUCCACAUACAUAUAUCAGCAUACAUAUAUAUAUAUGUAUAGCAUAUAUAUAUAUGAGCACAUAUUAAUAUAUGCCCAUGCACAUACAAGCAUGUUUUUGUUAAUUUUUACUGAAAUGGAAUCAUACUGCAUACUUAUGAACAAAUUGCUUCUUUCACCUUAUAUCACUUAUAAUUGUUAUUCUACAAAUCAGUACAUAUAAAAAAUACAUAUUUACAUAUGUAAUACUCUAUCUUUCUGUUAUAAUUUUCUGCAUGCACAUGUAUGCAUAUACAUAUAUUCAUAAACAUAAAACUUAAUCUAAACGGGAUUUUUUUUGGGGGGGGUGAUAUGGUUUGGCUGUGUCCCCACCCAAAUCUCAUCUUGAAUUCCCAUGUGUUGU